UACGGGGGGGGCAAGCGUUGUUCGGAAUUACUGGGCGUAAAGGGCUCGUAGGCGGCCAACUAAGUCGGAUGUGAAAUCCCCAGGCUUAACCUGGGAACUGCAUCCGAUACUGGAUGGCUUGAAUCCGGGAGAGGGAUGCAGAAUUCCAGGUGUAGCGGUGAAAUGCGUAGAUAUCUGGAGGAAUACCGGUGGCGAAGGCGGCAUCCUGGACCGGCAUUGACGCUGAGGUACGAAAGCGUGGGGAGCAAACAGG
rnacentral:rRNA from 1 species